ensembl:lncRNA
AGUCUCCGUUCAUGUCUCUAAUGUCAAAGUCCCAGAAAGCGUCUGUUUUCACUCGAAACGAAAUACUGAUAGCGUGGAUUCAUGUUGUGACAGAUGUUCUCAUCAUACAUCAGGGAGUCACCUGAACUUCAUUUGACGCCACAGAGGAGCUGAUGUCGCCCGUAGCGGCGGCGGAUCCCUUGUUUCAGUCGGGUGCUGUUUGGGUGACGACGAGUCAGCAGGCCGAUCCCCACGUGUGAACGACCACAGGGGAAAACGCACGAAUGUGUUUCCAACUAAAACGUCCCUCGUUCCACGGAUUAUUCUGUAAAUUAUAGACAGACACAUAAAGAGAUUAAAUCCAGAUUAGUUAAUUACGCGUCACAUGAGCGCUUCAAUCUACCAAAACACACCAAACAGGAUCGAGCUUAAUGUUACACUUCAUUUGUUUCCAUGUUUCCUGAAGAGAACCAGUUAUUGAGACGCAUCAUGCGAGUACACUGAAAAGUCUACAGACAAGUUCUACCUGAGAAUAAAGCGCUCAAUCAACUCAAACCUUCCCUACAAUUAAUACGGUUUAGAACGAAUGCAAAGAGAAAACCACUGUUGGACUUGCAGAAGAAGUAAAGUUGAUUGAAAUGCAGAACGUUUGUGUUUGUUCUGCAUUUGAUGUUGUUGUUGUUUUGUGUAACAUGAAGCCAUUAAUUCAGUCUGGUGUCAGGAAACUGUACAUUUAUAUUUAUUUAAAUCUUAAAAGUAUCAUUUCUACUGUUUGGACAAAUGACCCAACACAUGGAAACACUGUAAUGAAACCUAAAGGCCUAAAUGACACGCGUGUAUGAAUCAAUAAAUCCUUCCCUGCAUUAUUGAACUUGUUCUCCAGUGAUGAAGCCUUUGACUGUAUUUAACCUCAUCGUUCCCAGCGUCUGCUGAAGCUCUGCCUGCUUACAUCGACACUCAAAGGCCGUUGCCGUCUUCUGGAGGCGACAUCUUUGGCAGUAUUGCAAAAUAAAACAGGAAACUGUACCAAAAGAUGUGAUUAAAGAUGCUGAU